UCACACUAUAUACAUUUGGCUUCCGCAACAAUUUAAAGCUAGAUGGGAACAUAUCUUCUAGCCAUUGUAUGGAUAUGAUCAAUAUUCUGCUCGCUCUGAUUAUUCCAGUUCUCUGUGUCUGAAAAUACACUUGCAUCGCUGGCUCUAAAUUUAUUCAAAAUGGAUUCAAUGUAUAUCCUCAAAUUGUUUUGGUCGACGAGCAUAUUCUCUAUUAGUCAUUGCUGCUAUUGAUGAUCAUGCCGGAUCAUGUAGUAAUUUAGGCCUUAUCAGAAAAGAUUUAAGGUGCUUAAAGUGUUAGAUCUGUAAGACAUUAGCAUCAAAUGUUCUUUUCUGGAUGGGAUUGAUUAUUUGGUCCAUUUAAGUACAUAGCAAUUCGGGUGAGAUGAAAUCUAUUCCAUCAUCUAUAGACAAACUUGGGAUUCCAUGGAUACUCUUGAUAGAUAAUUUAUUGUUUUAACAUUGUUACGUGACUUAUUUAGUUUUUAAAUAGACUUUAUGCAAGUUUUACUAUUUUCUUGUAUCUUUUCUUGACAAGCCAGUUAAGAUAACCCAAAAUCUUUCGAAAUGCACCCGAUGAUUACAAGUACUAGGUUUCUCUAUGUGACAUGAUCCUUAUUCUCACCUAUAAUAUGUAUUUUUUUUCUUUUUAUUCAAUUUCUUUUAAGAGGUAAAUGAGUAGUUGAGACAUGGGAGAAAAUUCUUGAGAUCUCAGGUUCGAAUUCUACUACAACACUCAACAUAUGUCAUCCCAAAGGCUGUAUAGCUGGUCCGCAUGCCAUCUUUAUCAAACAAUAAGAGAAAAGAGAAAAACAAAAAUUGAAAGCUCUGAUUUUUCAAAUUCUGUUAGCAUUAAGCUUAUGAUAGAAUGUAACAUUUAUCUUGAUUAUGUGUAUUCGUGAUUAUCUUAGAGCCAUUUAAAGUUUAUUUCUUCAAACAGUCUUUAAUUGUUCAAAUGAAUCUUUUAUCUGCUUGAUGAGAUAUGAAUCAUAAAUACUUCUCUAGGUGAUUGUGAAUAUCAUAUCUGGAAUAUACAAAGCCUUAUUCGGCUUAAGCACAGUGAUUGGAAGCAGAAUAGUGGAUUGCAUCUGCAAAUAGAUCUGUGAAAAUGUUAAAGCUAAGCUUGCAGAGGGACUGCCCUUGGGUUUUCAGAAUGCGGGAAUUCUUACUUGGCCAGUCAUGUUUGCUUCUCUAAUUCUACUUAUUCCAACAUAGUUUUCAUAACUAUGAGAAAGAGAGGGACUCAUCAAGAAGCAGCGCAAAGGAUAGGGAGAAAGUGCAUUAUAAGGAUUGGGACUAGGAUAAAUGCAAAGAUCGGUACAUUGAGAAGGAUCAUGGUUGUCAUCACAGAGAUAAUCACAUGAAUCAAAGUGACAGAAGGGAGAGAGAGAGGACAAAGAUAGAGAUGAAAAAGAACGUCAUCAUACUUGAGAUUUUGACUAGUGAAAGCUCAGAUCACUUCUAUAGAGAGUGAUGAGAGUAGGUAAAGACUUCUGGGAUCUUCGUGACGAAGUAGCUCUAUUAGCAAAUCACAUGGCUCUUAAUUUUACGGGUACUGCAAAUAGCUUGUUUGUAAAAGGUCAUGCACCAUGAUAUUCAAAAUUUGACAAGUGGAAGACUUCAGUUUGAUCAAGAGUUUGAAGAAAUUUUUAUACGCUGUAUAUUGUGUAGUGUAGUAGCUAUUUGAUACACUAGUUUUUAGGCACAAAAUGACACUAGCUAUUGGAUCCAAAUAAUUUAUUUAUUUUCUGUUGUGUUGACACUUUCGAUAUUAUGGAUUAAUAGUUAUUUUUGUUUGUUGUGAA